UCGCGGCCUAUCAGCUUGUUGGUGGGGUAAUGGCCUACCAAGGCGACGACGGGUAGCCGGCCUGAGAGGGUGACCGGCCACACUGGGACUGAGAUACGGCCCAGACUCCUACGGGAGGCAGCAGUGGGGAAUAUUGCACAAUGGGCGCAAGCCUGAUGCAGCGACGCCGCGUGGGGGAUGACGGCCUUCGGGUUGUAAACCUCUUUCAGUAGGGACGAAGCGCAAGUGACGGUACCUACAGAAGAAGCACCGGCCAACUACGUGCCAGCGGCCGCGGUAAUACGUAGGGUGCGAGCGUUGUCCGGAAUUACUGGGCGUAAAGAGCUCGUAGGUGGUUUGUCACGUUGUUCGUGAAAACUCACAACUCAAUUGUGGGCGUGCGGGCGAUACGGGCAGACUUGAGUACUGCAGGGGAGACUGGAAUUCCUGGUGUAGCGGUGGAAUGCGCAGAUAUCAGGAGGAACACCGGUGGCGAAGGCGGGUCUCUGGGCAGUAACUGACGCUGAGGAGCGAAAGCGUGGGGAGCGAACAGGAUUAGAUACCCUGGUAGUCCACGCCGUAAACGGUGGGUACUAGAUGUGGGAUUCCUUCCUUGGGUUCCGUGUCGUAGCUAACGCAUUAAGUACCCCGCCUGGGGAGUACGG
rnacentral:rRNA from 1 species